rnacentral:rRNA from 2 species
GGUUAAGCGACUAAGCGUACACGGUGGAUGCCCUGGCAGUCAGAGGCGAUGAAGGACGUGCUAAUCUGCGAAAAGCGCCGGCGAGGUGAUAUGAACCUUUGACCCGGCGAUGUCCGAAUGGGGAAACCCAGUGUGUUCCGACACACUAUCGUUAACUGAAUACAUAGGUUAACGAGGCGAACCGGGGGAACUGAAACAUCUAAGUACCCCGAGGAAAAGAAAUCAACCGAGAUUCCCCCAGUAGCGGCGAGCGAACGGGGAGCAG